rnacentral:rRNA from 1 species
AGUGAACGCUGGCGGUAGGCCUAACACAUGCAAGUCGAACGGCAGCACAGUAAGAGCUUGCUCUUACGGGUGGCGAGUGGCGGACGGGUGAGGAAUACAUCGGAAUCUACUUUUUCGUGGGGGAGAACGUAGGGAAACUUACGCUAAUACCGCAUACGACCUACGGGUGAAAGCAGGGGAUCUUCGGACCUUGCGCGAUUGGAUGAGCCGAUGUCGGAUUAGCUAGUUGGCGGGGUAAAGGCCCACCAAGGCGACGAUCCGUAGCUGGUCGGAGAGGAUGACAGUCCACACUGGGACUUAGAGACGGCCCAGACUCCUACGGGGGGCAGCAGUGGGGAAUAUGGCACAAUGGGCGGAAGCCUGAUGCAGCAACGCCGCGUGCGGGAUGACCGCCUUCGGGUUGGAAACCGCAUUCAGCAGGGGCGAAGCUUGUGGUGACGGUACCGGCAGAAGAAGCACCGGCUAACUACGUG